UGGGGAAUAUUGCACAAUGGGCGAAAGCCUGAUGCAGCAACGCCGCGUGAGUGAUGAAGGUCUUCGGAUUGUAAAGCUCUGUCUUUUGGGACGAUAAUGACGGUACCAAAGGAGGAAGCCACGGCUAACUACGUGCCAGCAGCCGCGGUAAUACGUAGGUGGCGAGCGUUGUCCGGAUUUACUGGGCGUAAAGGGUGCGUAGGCGGAUGUUUAAGUGAGAUGUGAAAUACCCGGGCUUAACUUGGGUGCUGCAUUUCAAACUGGAUAUCUAGAGUGCAGGAGAGGAGAAUGGAAUUCCUAGUGUAGCGGUGAAAUGCGUAGAGAUUAGGAAGAACACCAGUGGCGAAGGCGAUUCUCUGGACUGUAACUGACGCUGAGGCACGAAAGCGUGGGUAGCAAACAGGAUUAGAUACCCUGGUAGUCCACGCCGUAAACGAUGAAGUACUAGGUGUAGGAGGUAUCGACCCCUUCUGUGCCGCAGUAAACACAUUAAGUACUCCGCCUGGGAAGUACGAUCGCAAGAUUAAAACUCUAAAGUGAA
rnacentral:rRNA from 1 species